rnacentral:lncRNA from 1 species
UCUCGGGUGAGAUCACCACGGAGCGGCUUAGCGCGGCGCACAAGUCUCGCGAGAGAAGCGGCGGCUGGGCCCUGCAGGCGGAGGAAGUGGAAAAAGUCGCGGGAGGGUAGGGGACCGCGGAACUUCUGGUUGCUAUGACGACGGCAAAGCCCUGGAUUCCUGUCUCCUGCGGAGAGCAGAGGCUGCAAACAAAUGAAAAGAGGCUUGCUCAUGACUUGGAAGCGGUGGGCUGAGGCCUCCCAAGACCAUCUGGCUUGUUCCAUUGCCAGCCAGAGUGGAGGCGACAUUCACACGAACCCAGGAGCUGCAGGGGCGCGUGAGCUACAGCUGCCUUGUGGCAUCCAAGGAGUGCGCAACUAGUCUCACUCUGUUGCCCAGGCUGGAGUGCAGUGGCGCGAUCUCAGCUUACUUCAGCCUCCGCCUCCCGGUUUCAAGUGAAUUCUCCAGCCUCAACUUCACAAGUAGCUGGGAUUACAGCCACUUUUUAUCUUCUCUCCUGCAAUCCAACCCACAUAAUUUCCAUGAAGAAAGCGGAGUGGUGUCAUUUUACAACAAGAAAACUGAGUUAAGAAUAAGUCCAAUCAAUUGCUAGGUGUUGAGACUGAAAUGGAAGUCUCUUAGUACUCCACCCAAGGAUUUUCAUAUUAAACAAUUAUCU